rnacentral:rRNA from 1 species
UAGGGAAUCUUCCACAAUGGACGAAAGUCUGAUGGAGCAACGCCGCGUGAGUGAUGAAGGGUUUCGGCUCGUAAAACUCUGUUGUUGGAGAAGAACGGGUGUCAGAGUAACUGUUGACAUCGUGACGGUAUCCAACCAGAAAGCCACGGCUAACUACGUGCCAGCAGCCGCGGUAAUACGUAGGUGGCAAGCGUUGUCCGGAUUUAUUGGGCGUAAAGCGAGCGCAGGCGGUUUUUUAGGUCUGAUGUGAAAGCCUUCGGCUUAACCGGAGAAGUGCAUCGGAAACCGGGAGACUUGAGUGCAGAAGAGGACAGUGGAACUCCAUGUGUAGCGGUGAAAUGCGUAGAUAUAUGGAAGAACACCAGUGGCGAAGGCGGCUGUCUGGUCUGCAACUGACGCUGAGGCUCGAAAGCAUGGGUAGCGAACAGGAUUAGAUACCCUGGUAGUCCAUGCCGUAAACGAUGAGUGCUAAGUGUUGGAGGGUUUCCGCCCUUCAGUGCUGCAGCUAACGCAUUAAGCACUCCGCCUGGGGGAGUACGACCGCAA